rnacentral:lncRNA from 12 species
GUCCCCCCAGACCUCUGGCUUGAACACCUUGGUGGAUGAUGGUCUGUUUAUUAAGAUGAGGAAGAGAGGAGGGAAGGAUAGCCUGAGAUCAAAAUUAGUCUAGGUUUGGAAGUAUUAUGUUUGAGUCUUUUAGGAAUUAUUUAAAAGGAGUCAUUGAAAAGGAGAUUGUAUAUGUAAGACUCAAGUUCAGAAAGGUCAGGCCAGAAGGUAUAAAUUUGGGGAUUUUCAGCAUAUAGAUGUAAUUUGUAGCUGUGUGAGCAAAUGAGACUGCCUAAGGAAUUACCACUACUUUUUGGUUUUAGCACAGUGCUGGCACACACUAAGUGCUCGAAAACAAUUUAAGUUCCUAUCUUAAAUUCACCCUCGUAUCCUCAUGCUUAGGACAGUGUCUGCAAUAUGGAAGAUACUCAAUAGUUUCCUAUGAACGGACUGAAUGAUUUAGCAACUGUACCAUUCACAGUAGCAGAAUAGUGAUUUCAAACCUUGUCUCAGACUCCAAGACAAAUUGCUUUCACCAUAGGGUAGUACUCUAGUUCAGCAGAUAAUCUCCAAAACCUGGUGAGAAAGACAAGUACAAGGUGUCUUCAUUAUAUAAAUGAGGAAACUGAAGAGGUCACAUGGCUUGCCUAAAACUAGAACCCAGGUCUUGUGAUUCAUAUUCUAAUAAUCUUUCACCAUAGUAGGGCUGACUUUCAACAAACCAGCAGCCGCUCUAGAUAUUUUGUACCUGCCAAUUAACAUAUGCCAUGAGGAAAAGAAAAGAAAACCCAAAUAAAAAAAAAAAAAAAAAAACUCCUGGGGUGUAUGUGGGAGUGUUACACAAUUUCUGGAAUAACAGGUCUAGAAAAUCAACUAACGUGUGUACCAAUUCUAAUAAGUUAGCUUGGAAGAUAAAGUAAUAUAUAAAGCGAUCUGUGAAUAGUUAUGCAAUAACCUGCACAUAACUGGUAGCAAGUUCAACAUAAAUUUAUAAAGGAUUGUAUAGGAAUACAAUGUAAUCUCAAGGUCAAUGAAUAUUUCCAAUGAAAUAUUCAUUUCCAUAAAUAUUUAAAAAAGAAACAAAAAGUUUAUUGAAAUAUUUUUCCAUUGUAAAUGACUUUGAGAAUGGAAAGUUCAGUAAAUAACUAUAAUCUACCAGGUAUUCUACUUGGCUUUAGACGCCAAACUUGAAAAUAUUUUAUUUAGUUUUUUAAAAAAUAUUUUAAAUAAAAAUACUUCCCAAAUUUUGUGACA